CGUAGGUGGCAAGCGUUGUCCGGAUUUAUUGGGUUUAAAGGGUGCGUAGGCGGUUUUCUAAGUCAGCAGUGAAAUACGGCAGCUCAACUGUCGAGGUGCUGUUGAUACUGGGGAACUUGAGUACUGAUGAGGUAGGCGGAAUGGACGGUGUAGCGGUGAAAUGCUUAGAGAUCGUCCAGAACACCGAUAGCGAAGGCAGCUUACUAAGGAGUAACUGACGCUGAGGCACGAAAGUGUGGGGAUCAAACAGGGAUUAGAUACCCUGGUAGUCCACACUGUAAACGAUGAUUACUCGAUGUGUGCGAUACACAGCACGCGUCUUAGCAAAAGCGAUAAGUAAUCCACCUGGGGAGUACGCCGGCAACGGUG
rnacentral:rRNA from 1 species